ensembl:lncRNA
AAAAAAAAAAAAAAAAAAAAAAAAAAAAAAAAAAAAAAAAUGAAAAAUUCACUAAUUUCUAAAAUACUUACAGAAGCAGAAAUUACUGAGUUAGGUUUACAUAGUAGCUUAUUAAAACCAUGUUCAUGUCCUUUUAUUUUAAACAAGAAACAUUAUGUCAAGAUUUGUAAAUUAUAUUUACUGAAUAUUGUAUUAUUCUUUUCUGUUUAUAUCACUGUUUGUGUGAUUUUAUUAAUUAAUAGUAAAAAAGAAUUAAAUAAAGCUAUUGAACUUAUAAUAUAUAUAUACUUGUUUGUUUACUUUUAUAUUGGUCUUAUAAUAAGCAACAAUAUUAAGUACUACUUGGUGACAAAAUAUAAUGUAAAAGAAGUACGUAAGAGAUUGUAUACAACGCAUUUAAGAAGAACAAAAAAGAAUAGAGAUAAAAAAAAAAAAGAAAAAAAAAAAAAGAUAAACACAGAAGAGGUAAUAAGCAUAAACAAUGAAAAUACACGUACUCUUAAAAAAGAUAAAACUAUAAACAAAAAAAAUGAAUAUAUCUACAAAGAGUAUAAAACAUUAACAGGAAAACUGUUUUCAAAAGAAAAAUAUUAUUUGGUUAAUAAUAUUGAAGAAAAUCAGUUCGAAUUAAAUAACAAUAAUAUUGUACCUGAACAAAAAUAUUAUUUAUUAAAUGAUUUAAAAAAUAUAAAUGAAGAUAUAAAUAAUGAGUUGUUAAAAUAUAUUCAAUAUGAAAAUAAUAAUUAUACAAUAAAUAAUAAUAAAUAUGAUAAAUUUUUAAUAAUAGCAGGUGUCAUUAAUCAAUUAAAUAUUUUUGUUGAUAUAAUUUUUUUGUUUUAUUUAUAUGAUUAUAAUAUAUAUAUGUUAUAUGCUUGUUUAUGUGUUUGUGCUUAUUACCUUAUCCACUUUUUUAUUAUUAUUAAAUAUACUAUAAUUAUUAUUAAAUCAUUAAUAUGGAUAUAUAAAAAACAAUUUUUUAAAUUUUAUAAAAACACUGUAUCACAGUGGAAAUGGGCUUAUAGCUAUUACACUACUAAGACAAGGAAGACAAUUAAACGGUUUAUAACUUCUUUUAUCAAAUUAAAAAAAAACAAACGUAUAUCUUCCAAUGAAAUAGAACCAAACAUUUUUUUAAAUAAAUACACAAGUUAUAAUAGUUGGAACUUCUUGUGUAUUGAAAGUAAAACUCAUUAUUGGGAAGAGAACUGGUUACAAAAUUUAUAUAACUCUGAUUUGUAUAAUCUUCAAGAAAUAAAAAUAAAAAAGAACAAACUAAAAAGAAGCAACAUAACAAAUAACAACCUAAAAUAUGACAACAUAAAAAAUAAUAACAUAAAUACAAACAACAUAAAAAACAGUAUGUCGAAUAGGACAAACGACAAAAAGAUGGAUAAACAUGGAAUCAAAAUUAAAAAUAAAAUUAUAUAUGAACGAGCUUUACUUCCAUCCUACGUUCAAAUGAUUGCUAACUUGUCAAGUUUUCUUUCUUUCUUUCAAGUUUUGAAUAUUUUAAAAAUAAAAUUCUUAUCCGCACAUAGUUUUUACGCACACGCUAGUUUUACCAUGUUAUUAUUUCUACUGAAAGUACUAUCUAUGGACAUUGUGUUGUGCGUUUUUAAAUUCUUUUGUUCAUUUUACUCUCCCAACAAUUUAGUAAUGGGACUAUUUUUAUUUAUUUCAGUGUUCAAUAUUAUUAACACAUAUAUAAUAAAUUUAGCUGAUAAUAAUUUAUUGGACGAUAUGGAUAUACGUUAUUAGGUGAAUAAAAUAAUAUAUGUAUAUGCA